CAUACAUACAAAAAAUAUUACAUAUAUACAAAAAAUAAAACAUACAUACAUACUAUAUAUAUAUACUAGAAUAAUAUAUUAAAAAAAUAAUACAUACAUACAUACAAACAAUUAUAAUUCAUACAUACAAACUAUAUAUGUGUGUGUAUAUGUACAAAAAAUAAUAUACAUACAUACAAAAAAUAAUACAUAUAUAAAAAAAUAGAACAUACAUACAUACUAUAUAUAUACUAGAAUAAUAUAUUAAAAAAAUAAUACAUACAUACAUACAUACAUACAAACAAUUAUAAUUCAUACAUACAAACUAUAUAUAUGUGUGUGUACAUGUACAAAAAAUAAUAUACAUACAUACAAAAAAUAUUACAUAUAUACAAAAAAUAAAACAUACAUACAUACUAUAUAUAUAUACUAGAAUAAUAUAUUAAAAAAAUAAUACAUACAUACAUACAAACAAUUAUAAUUCAUACAUACAAACUAUAUAUGUGUGUGUAUAUGUACAAAAAAUAAUAUACAUACAUACAAAAAAUAAUACAUAUAUAAAAAAAAUAAAACAUACAUACAUACUAUAUAUAUACUAGAAUAAUAUAUUAAAAAAAUAAUACAUACAUACAUACAAACAAUUAUAAUUCAUACAUACAAACUAUAUAUAUGUGUGUGUAUAUGUACAAAAAAUAAUAUACAUACAUACAAAAAAUAUUACAUAUAUACAAAAAAUAAAACAUACAUACAUACUAUAUAUAUAUACUAGAAAUAUAUACAAAAAAUUACAUAUAUAUACAAAAAAAUAUAUACAUACUAUAUAUAAUAUACAUACUAUAUAUAAUACUACAAAUCAAAACAUCAUAUAUAUAAUAUACAUAUACACAAAAAAAAUUACAUAUAUAUACAUAAAAAUAUAUAUAAAAAAUAAUACUACAAAUCAAAACACCAUAUAUACAUAUAUAUAUAUAUGUAUAUAUAUGGUGUUUUGAUUUGUAAUAUUAUUUUUUGUAUAUAUUUUUAUGUAUAUAUAUGUAAUAUUUUUGUGUGUAUAUAUAUAUAUAUAUAUUUCUCUGGUCUAGUGUAUAUAAAUACGUAAUUAAUCAAUGGCGUC
rnacentral:lncRNA from 1 species